ACGACUAUGAGAGUGCAGCUGAG
rnacentral:rasiRNA from 1 species